AGCCACGCAAUGAACACAUAGCGAACUAUUCUUUCGCCUUUUACUAAAGAAUACCGUGUGUGCGUUGCAAAUAGUGGCAUACGCCAAUUUUUGGAGGGAUUCUCUUUUACUGAGGAUC